UCCCAGACUCCUACGGGAGGCAGCAGUGGGGAAUAUUGCACAAUGGGGGAAACCCUCAUGCAGCGACGCCGCGUGAGCGAAGAAGUACCUCGGUAUGUAAAGCUCUAUCAGCAGGGAAGAAGAUGACGGUACCUGACCAAGAAGCUCCGGCUAAAUACGUGCCAGCAGCCGCGGUAAUACGUAUGGAGCAAGCGUUAUCCGGAUUUACUGGGUGUAAAGGGAGCGCAGGCGGCCUUGCAAGUCUGAUGUGAAAGCCCGGGGCUCAACCCCGGGACUGCAUUUGGAACUGUAAGGCUAGAGUGUCGGAGAGGCAGGCGGAAUUCCUAGUGUAGCGGUGAAAUGCGUAGAUAUUAGGAGGAACACCAGUGGCGAAGGCGGCCUGCUGGACGAUGACUGACGUUGAGGCUCGAAAGCGUGGGGAGCAAACAGGAUUAGAUACCCGCGUA
rnacentral:rRNA from 1 species